AUUGAACGCUAGCGGCAGGCCUAACACAUGCAAGUCGAACGGUAGCACAGAGGAGCUUGCUCCUUGGGUGACGAGUGGCGGACGGGUGAGUAAUGUCUGGGAAACUGCCCGAUGGAGGGGGAUAACUACUGGAAACGGUAGCUAAUACCGCAUAACGUCUUCGGACCAAAGUGGGGGACCUUCGGGCCUCACACCAUCGGAUGUGCCCAGAUGGGAUUAGCUAGUAGGUGGGGUAAUGGCUCACCUAGGCGACGAUCCCUAGCUGGUCUGAGAGGAUGACCAGCCACACUGGAACUGAGACACGGUCCAGACUCCUAUGGGAGGCAGCAGUGGGGAAUAUUGCACGAUGGGCGCAAGCCUGAUGCAGCCAUGCCGCGUGUAUGAAGAAGGCCUUCGGGUUGUAAAGUACUUUCAGCGGGGAGGAAGGCGUUAAGGUUAAUAACCUUGGCGAUUGACGUUACCCGCAGAAGAAGCACCGGCUAACUCCGUGCCAGCCGCCGCCGUAA
rnacentral:rRNA from 1 species